rnacentral:tRNA from 1 species
GGUAUCUUAGCUCAGAGGUAGAGCAACGGACUGAAAAUCCGUUAGGCCCUGGUUCAAUUCCAGGAGGUACCA